GGCUCAGGACGAACGCUGGCGGCGUGCCUAAUACAUGCAAGUCGAGCGGACAGAAGGGAGCUUGCUCCCGGAUGUUAGCGGCGGACGGGUGAGUAACACGUGGGUAACCUGCCUGUAAGACUGGGAUAACUCCGGGAAACCGGAGCUAAUACCGGAUAGUUCCUUGAACCGCAUGGUUCAAGGAUGAAAGACGGUUUCGGCUGUCACUUACAGAUGGACCCGCGGCGCAUUAGCUAGUUGGUGGGGUAAUGGCUCACCAAGGCGACGAUGCGUAGCCGACCUGAGAGGGUGAUCGGCCACACUGGGACUGAGACACGGCCCAGACUCCUACGGGAGGCAGCAGUAGGGAAUCUUCCGCAAUGGACGAAAGUCUGACGGAGCAACGCCGCGUGAGUGAUGAAGGUUUUCGGAUCGUAAAGCUCUGUUGUUAGGGAAGAACAAGUGCGAGAGUAACUGCUCGCACCUUGACGGUACCUAACCAGAAAGCCACGGCUAACUACGUGCCAGCAGCCGCGGUAAUACGUAGGUGGCAAGCGUUGUCCGGAAUUAUUGGGCGUAAAGGGCUCGCAGGCGGUUUCUUAAGUCUGAUGUGAAAGCCCCCGGCUCAACCGGGGAGGGUCAUUGGAAACUGGGAAACUUGAGUGCAGAAGAGGAGAGUGGAAUUCCACGUGUAGCGGUGAAAUGCGUAGAGAUGUGGAGGAACACCAGUGGCGAAGGCGACUCUCUGGUCUGUAACUGACGCUGAGGAGCGAAAGCGUGGGGAGCGAACAGGAUUAGAUACCCUGGUAGUCCACGCCGUAAACGAUGAGUGCUAAGUGUUAGGGGGUUUCCGCCCCUUAGUGCUGCAGCUAACGCAUUAAGCAUUCCGCCU
rnacentral:rRNA from 1 species